rnacentral:rRNA from 1 species
AGUUUGAUCCUGGCUCAGAUUGAACGCUGGCGGCAGGCCUAACACAUGCAAGUCGAGCGGGGUUUUCGGACCUAGCGGCGGACGGGUGAGUAAUGCGUAGGAAGCUACCCGAUAGAGGGGGAUACCAGUUGGAAACGACUGUUAAUACCGCAUAAUGUCUACGGACCAAAGUGUGGGACCUUCGGGCCACAUGCUAUCGGAUGCGCCUACGUGGGAUUAGCUAGUUGGUGGGGUAAUGGCUCACCAAGGCGACGAUCCCUAGCUGGUUUGAGAGGAUGAUCAGCCACACUGGAACUGAGACACGGUCCAGACUCCUACGGGAGGCAGCAGUGGGGAAUAUUGGACAAUGGGCGCAAGCCUGAUCCAGCCAUGCCGCGUGUGUGAAGAAGGCCUUCGGGUUGUAAAGCACUUUCAGCGAGGAGGAAGGGAGUUGUGUUAAUAGCACGGCUUCUUGACGUUACUCGCAGAAGAAGCACCGGCUAACUCUGUGCCAGCAGCCGCGGUAAUACAGAGGGUGCAAGCGUUAAUCGGAAUUACUGGGCGUAAAGCGCACGUAGGCGGUUUUUUAAGUCAGAUGUGAAAGCCCCGGGCUCAACCUGGGAAUUGCAUUUGAAACUGGAAAACUAGAGUGUGUGAGAGGGGGGUAGAAUUCCAAGUGUAGCGGUGAAAUGCGUAG